rnacentral:rRNA from 1 species
CUGACACAGGGAGGUAGUGACAAUAAAUAACAAUGCCGGGCCUUUCUAGGUCUGGCAAUUGGAAUGAGAACAAUUUAAAUCCCUUAUCGAGGAUCAAUUGGAGGGCAAGUCUGGUGCCAGCAGCCGCGGUAAUUCCAGCUCCAAUAGCGUAUAUUAAAGUUGUUGCAGUUAAAAAGCUCGUAGUUGGAUUUCUGGUGGGAGCGAUCGGUCUGGCGCUUAGCGCGAGUACUUGCAUCGUCUCCGGCCAUCCUUGGGGAGAGUUUGUCUGGCAUUAAGUUGUCGGGCAGAGGAUCCUCAUCGUUUACUGUGAAAAAAUUGAGUGUUCAAAGCAGGCUUAUGCCGUUGAAUAUAUUAGCAUGGAAUAAUAAGAUAGGACUUUGGUACUAUUUUGUUGGUUUGCGCACCAAAGUAAUGAUUAAUAGGGACAGUUGGGGGUAUUCGUAUUCCGUUGUCAGAGGUGAAAUUCUUGGAUUUACGGAAGACGAACUACUGCGAAAGCAUUUACCAAGGAUGUU